GGAAGUGGGGAUGACGUCAAGUCCUCAUGGCCUUUAUGACCAGGGCUACACACGUACUACAAUGGCCGGUACAGACGGACGCAAAGCCGCGAGGCGGAGCAAAUCCGAAAAAGCCGGUCUCAGUUCGGAUUGCAGGCUGCAAUUCGCCUGCAUGAAGUCGGAAUCGCUAGUAAUCGCAGGUCAGCAUACUGCGGUGAAUACGUUCCCGGGCCUU
rnacentral:rRNA from 1 species